GCCACCAUAGCUCAGAGGUUAGAGCACUGGUCUCGUAAACCAGGGGUUGCGUGUUCGAUUCUCGCUGUUGGCU
rnacentral:tRNA from 13 species